rnacentral:rRNA from 1 species
AGAGUUUGAUCCUGGCUCAGGACGAACGCUGGCGGCGUGCCUAAUACAUGCAAGUAGAACGCUGAAGAGAGGAGCUUGCUCUUCUUGGAUGAGUUGCGAACGGGUGAGUAACGCGUAGGUAACCUGCCUUGUAGCGGGGGAUAACUAUUGGAAACGAUAGCUAAUACCGCAUAAUAUUAAUUAUUGCAUGAUAAUUGAUUGAAAGAUGCAAGCGCAUCACUAGUAGAUGGACCUGCGUUGUAUUAGCUAGUUGGUAAGGUAAGAGCUUACCAAGGCGACGAUACAUAGCCGACCUGAGAGGGUGAUCGGCCACACUGGGACUGAGACACGGCCCAGACUCCUACGGGAGGCAGCAGUAGGGAAUCUUCGGCAAUGGGGGCAACCCUGACCGAGCAACGCCGCGUGAGUGAAGAAGGUUUUCGGAUCGUAAAGCUCUGUUGUAAGUCAAGAACGAGUGUGAGAGUGGAAAGUUCACACUGUGACGGUAGCUUACCAGAAAGGGACGGCUAACUACGUGCCAGCAGCCGCGGUAAUACGUAGGUCCCGAGCGUUGUCCGGAUUUAUUGGGCGUAAAGCGAGCGCAGGCGGUUAGAUAAGUCUGAAGUUAAAGGCUGUGGCUUAACCAUAGUACGCUUUGGAAACUGUUUAACUUGAGUGCAGAAGGGGAGAGUGGAAUUCCAUGUGUAGCGGUGAAAUGCGUAGAUAUAUGGAGGAACACCGGUGGCGAAAGCGGCUCUCUGGUCUGUAACUGACGCUGAGGCUCGAAAGCGUGGGGAGCAAACAGGAUUAGAUACCCUGGUAGUCCACGC